rnacentral:rRNA from 1 species
UACGGAGGGUGCGAGCGUUGCUCGGAAUUACUGGGCGUAAAGCGUACGCAGGCUGUCUCAUAAGACGGGUGUGAAAGCCCGGGGCUCAACCCCGGAAUUGCGCCCUGACUGUGGGGCUUGAAUGCGGGAGAGGGAAGCGGGAAUUCCUGGUGUAGAGGUGAAAUGCGCAGAUAUCAGGAAGAACACCCGUGGCGAAGGCGGCUCCUCUGGGACGGUACUGACGCUGAGACGCGAAAGCGUGGGGAGCAAACAGG